rnacentral:rRNA from 1 species
GUGAGGAAUAUUGGACAAUGGGCGCAAGCCUGAUCCAGCCAUGCCGCGUGCAGGAAGACGCAUCUAUGGUGUGUAAACUGCUUUUGUACGGGAAGAAACACUCCCUCGUGAGGGAGCUUGACGGUACCGUAAGAAUAAGGAUCGGCUAACUCCGUGCCAGCAGCCGCGGUAAUACGGAGGAUCCAAGCGUUAUCCGGAAUCAUUGGGUUUAAAGGGUCCGUAGGCGGUUUAAUAAGUCAGUGGUUAAAGCCCAUCGCUCAACGAUGGAACGGCCAUUGAUACUGUUAGACUUGAAUUACAAGGAAGUAACUAGAAUAUGUAGUGUAGCGGUGAAAUGCUUAGAUAUUACAUGGAAUACCAAUUGCGAAGGCAGGUUACUACUUGUGGAUUGACGCUGAUGGACGAAAGCGUGGGGAGCGAACAGGAUUAGAAACCCUAGUAGUCC